GCGAAAAUCAUCUACCCCUUCCUUCUCACUUAGCCAAAUUGAUAAAACAGAAAUACCCACAAUCUUUCCUCCUCCAAAUUUGCAUAAUCAUGGCAACCCAAGCAGGUCUCUUCACCCCCGCCAUCACCGCCCCAAAAUCCAGUAAGUCCCCUCUGGUUCCAUGGAAACCUACCUCUUCCUUUUCAUUCACCAUCCCCAACUCUCUCACUUUUUCCGCCGCCCAAAGAUCUCUCAAAGUUGCCGCUGCUGAAGAGAAAACUGAAGCUCCCACAAAAGAGGCUCCAGUGGGUUUCACCCCACCAGAAUUGGACCCAAAUACACCCUCACCAAUCUUCGGUGGCAGCACUGGAGGGUUGUUGCGCAAGGCUCAAGUUGAAGAAUUUUAUGUUAUCACAUGGGAUUCACCUAAAGAACAAAUCUUUGAGAUGCCAACUGGAGGUGCAGCUAUUAUGAGGCAAGGGCCUAACUUGCUCAAGUUGGCCAGGAAGGAGCAGUGUUUGGCUCUUGGUACCAGAUUGCGAUCCAAGUACAAGAUUAAGUACCAGUUUUAUAGGGAGAUAUUGAACCUCUCCAUUAGGAAAUACCCUACCCCAAAGACGGAGUUUAUCCUGAGAAAGUGAACCCAGGCCGCCAAGGAGUUGGACAGAAUUUCAGAUCCAUCGGAAAGAACGUUAGUCCCAUUGAGGUCAA
rnacentral:misc_RNA from 1 species